GAUGAACGCUGGCGGCAGGCCUAACACAUGCAAGUCGAGCGGCAGCGGGAAAGUAGCUUGCUACUUUUGCCGGCGAGCGGCGGACGGGUGAGUAAUGCCUGGGAAAUUGCCCAGUCGAGGGGGAUAACAGUUGGAAACGACUGCUAAUACCGCAUACGCCCUACGGGGGAAAGCAGGGGACCUUCGGGCCUCGCGCGAUUGGAUAUGCCCAGGUGGGAUUAGCUAGUUGGUGAGGUAAUGGCUCACCAAGGCGACGUGCCCUAGCUGGUCUGAGAGGAUGAUCAGCCACACUGGAACUGAGACACGGUCCAGACUCCUACGGGAGGCAGCAGUGGGGAAUAUUGCACAAUGGGGGAAACCCUGAUGCAGCCAUGCCGCGUGUGUGAAGAAGGCCUUCGGGUUGUAAAGCACUUUCAGCGAGGAGGAAAGGUUGAUGCCUAAUACGUAUCAACUGUGACGUUACUCGCAGAAGAAGCACCGGCUAACUCCGUGCCAGCCGCCGCCGUAA
rnacentral:rRNA from 1 species